UAGCGGCCAUAUCACGCUUAAAACACCUGUACGAUCACCGAUGUCAAGCAACGUCCAGCCUGAUCAGUACCUAGAUGGGUGACCACUUGAGAAUACCAGAGGCUGA